rnacentral:tRNA from 1 species
GCCGAGAUGGCGGAACGGUAGACGCAGCGGGCUUAAACCCCGCGGCCCGUAAAACGGCGUGUGGGUUCGAAUCCCACUCUCGGCACCA